AUGGUUAAGCAAAAGAUUGUCCUCAAGUUGGCUCUGGAUGAUGAGAGGAAGAGGAGGAAGGCCUUCAAGGCUGCCGUUGGCAUGUCAGGCGUGACAUCCGCGACGAUGGAGGGGGACAAGAUCAUCAUCGUCGGGGACGGCGUCGACCCGAUCACGCUGACCACGAUGCUCCGGCGCAGCCUGGGCUACGCAGAGCUCCUCAGCGUGUCCUCCGGUGACGACAAGAAGAAGGACGGCUACGGCGCCGCCUACGGGUACGGCGGCAGCGAGAAGAAGGACGGCUACGGCGCCGCCUACGGGUACGGCGGCAGCGAGAAGAAGGACGGCUACGGCGCAGCCUAUGGGUACGGCGGCGGCGAGAAGAAGAAGGACGGCUACGGGUACGGCGGCGCCGACAGCAGCGGGAGCGGCAUGAGCUUCGGCGGCAAGGAGGGUGGCGGCUCCAAAGGUGGCGGAGGCGGCGGCGGAUACUCUCAGAACGCGGUUGCGCCGGUCAUGUACCCCGCGUAUCAGCAGUACAACGCCAUGGCGUCCUACCCGGUUUACUCGUCCUACCCUGCUCCUCCUGCUUAUCAGCAUCAAGAACAGGAUCCCGGCUGCAGCAUUAUGUAG
rnacentral:rRNA from 1 species